UACGUAGGGGGCUAGCGUUGUCCGGAAUCAUUGGGCGUAAAGAGCGUGUAGGCGGUCAGGUAGGUCAGCUGUGAAAACUCGAGGCUCAACCUCGAGACGCCGGUUGAAACCAUCUGACUAGAGUCCGGAAGAGGAGAGUGGAAUUCCUGGUGUAGCGGUGAAAUGCGCAGAUAUCAGGAAGAACACCCGUGGCUAAGGCGGCUCUCUAGUACGGUACUGACGCUGAGACGCGAAAGCGUGGGGAGCGAACAGG
rnacentral:rRNA from 1 species